UCAAGGAAAUAAUGUUCUUGGUUACAGGACAAUCACAGGACCACUGUUCACCUGCUGUACCUUGGGCUGCAGUGAGAGCUGAGCAGCCAGGCAUUCUGCCAGAUGUUCCACUACUGAGCACACGGCAGUUCUGCAUCAGGUGGCAAACACGAACGUGGCCUCUUUCCCCAGACCAUGGAACGAAUUAAGUGCGUGAACAGAGGCGCCUCUGCAUUUAAACCUGAUUGGCUUGUAACUCGGACAGGUCACUGCUGAGGUCACCACUGAGGCCGGGAGUUGGGGGAGCAACUUAGUACCUGAGACCUGCCUGGCACUUGGAAGGCCCAGAUCUCACCUAUCCUCAGCUGUUUCCUGAACAAAGAAGAAAGAAAGCAUUAGAGGAGUCUGAGGGAGUGUGUGGGCCUCUUUUGAUAGCGUCAUUCUUCGAAGUAAGAGCUGGUUCAUUUGCUGCUCUGUUAGCAGUUGUUAAGCAAUCCCUUAUCCUGGACGCAAGCCUGUUCUCUGCUGCAGACUCUGAAGGUACCACCUUUUCAUUUUUGACUCAGAGAUUUGGAAGUGAGAAGCUUGGUUUCGG
rnacentral:lncRNA from 1 species